GAUGAACGCUAGCUACAGGCUUAACACAUGCAAGUCGAGGGGAAACGAUAUUGGAAGCUUGCUUCCGAUAGGCGUCGACCGGCGCACGGGUGAGUAACGCGUAUCCAACCUGCCCACCACUUGGGGAUAACCUUGCGAAAGUAAGACUAAUACCCAAUGAUAUCUCUAGAAGACAUCUGAAAGAGAUUAAAGAUUUAUCGGUGAUGGAUGGGGAUGCGUCUGAUUAGCUUGUUGGCGGGGCAACGGCCCACCAAGGCUACGAUCAGUAGGGGUUCUGAGAGGAAAGCCCCCCACAUUGGAACUGAGACACGGUCCAAACUCCUACGGGAGGCAGCAGUGAGGAAUAUUGGUCAAUGGGCGAGAGCCUGAACCAGCCAAGUAGCGUGCAGGAUGACGGCCCUAUGGGUUAGUAAACUGCUUUUAUGCGGGGAUAAAGUGGGCCACGUGUGGCCCUUUGCAGGUACCGCAUGAAUAAGGACCGGCUAAUUCCGUGCCAGCAG
rnacentral:rRNA from 1 species